rnacentral:misc_RNA from 1 species
UCCCCGUUGGCCGGGGCAGUCUCGUCUGAAAAAUACAACAGACGACAAGGGUUGCGCUCGUUGCGGGACUUAACCCAACAUCUCACGACACGAGCUGACGACGGCCAUGCAGCACCUGUCACCGCGUUCCCGAAGGCACUCCACUAUUUCUAGCGGAUUCGCGGGAUGUCAAGCCUCGGUAAGGUUCUUCGCGUAUCUUCGAAUUAAACCACAUGCUCCACUGCUUGUGCGGGUCCCCGUCAAUUCCUUUGAGUUUUAAGCUUGCGCUCGUACUCCCCAGGCGGGAUGCUUAACGCGUUAGCUUCUCAGCCCAAGGGGUCGAUACCUCGAACUAAUAGCAUCCAUCGUUUACGGCGUGGACUAC